rnacentral:rRNA from 1 species
UGGUCAAGUUAUUAAGGGUGCAGGGCGGAUGCCUUGGCACUAGGAGCCGAUGAAGGACGUGAUAAGCUGCGAUAAGCUUCGGGGAGUUGCACGUAAACUUUGAUCCGAAGAUUUCCGAAUGAGGAAACUCACUUAGAGUAAUGUCUAAGUAUCAUUAAGUGAAUACAUAGCUUAAUGAGGGGAACUCAGGGAACUGAAACAUCUAAGUACCUGAAGGAAGAGAAAGAAAUUCGAUUCCGUAAGUAGCGGCGAGCGAACGCGGAUUAGCCCAAACCAAUAAAGUUUUCUUUAUUGGGGUUGCGGACAUAUCAUAACGAAGAGGUAUCGUAAUUGAAGAGGUUUGGAAAGACCCACCACAGAAGGUAAUAGUCCUGUAUGUUAAACGAGAAGACUUUAGAUAUGAUCCAGAGUACCACGGGACACGUGAAACCCUGUGGGAAGCAGGAGGGACCACCCUCCAAGGCUAAAUACUACCUAGUGACCGAUAGCGUAUAGUACCGUGAGGGAAAGGUGAAAAGAACCCCGGGAGGGGAGUGAAAUAGAACCUGAAACCCUGCACUUACAAGCUGUGGAAGCACAUUUCUUGUGUGACCGCGUACUUUUUGUAGAACGGGCCAACGAGUUACGUUAAGUAGCAAGGUUAAGCACUUAAGGUGCGGAGCCGUAGCGAAAGCGAGUUUUAACUGAGCGUUCAGUUACUUGACGUAGACCCGAAACCGGGCGACCUACCCAUGAGCAGGAUGAAGCGAAAGUAAAAUUUCGUGGAGGUCCGAACCCACGAGCGUUGAAAAGCUCGGGGAUGACUUGUGGGUAGCGGUGAAAUUCCAAUCGAGCCCGGAGAUAGCUGGUUCUCCCCGAAAUAGCUUUAGGGCUAGCCUCAAGGUGAGAGAUACGGAGGUAGAGCACUGAAUGUCCUAGGGGGUAUUGCACCUACCGAAGACUAUCAAACUCCGAAUGCCGUCAUCUUAUACUUGGGAGUCAGACUGUGGGUGAUAAGAUUCAUAGUCGAAAGGGCAACAGCCCAGAUCGUCAGCUAAGGUCCCUAAAUGUAAGUUAAGUGGUAAAGGAUGUGGGAUUGCACAGACAACCAGGAUGUUGGCUUAGAAGCAGCCACUCAUUCAAAGAGUGCGUAAUAGCUCACUGGUCGAGUGAUCCUGCGCCGAAGAUUUCCGGGGCUAAAACUUACUACCGAAGCUACGGCAUCAGUAAUGAUGGGUAGGGGAGCUUCCCAUACGGGUUGAAGCAUGACCGUAAGGACAUGUGGACAGUAUGGGAGUGAGAAUGUUGGCAUGAGUAGCGAGAUGUGGGUGAGAAUCCCACAGGCCGUAAACCCAAGGUUUCCAGGGGAAGGUUCGUCCGCCCUGGGUUAGUCGGGACCUAAGCUGAGGCCGAAAGGCGUAGGUGAUGGACAACAGGUUGAUAUUCCUGUACUACCGAUAACCGUUUGAGAGAUGGGAUGACACAGUAGGAUAAGCUAAGCACACUGUUGGUUAUGUGUGCCCAAGCAUUGAGGCAGUCAAAGUAGGCAAAUCCGCUUUGAUAAUGCUGGGAUGUGAUGGGGAGCGAAAUUUAGUAGCGAAGUAGCUGAUUUCACACUGUCAAGAAAAGUCUCUAUCGAGGUUAAAGGUACCCGUACCGCAAACCGACACAGGUGGGUGAGGAGAGUAUCCUAAGGCCAGCGAGAGAACUGUUGUUAAGGAACUCGGCAAAAUGACCCCGUAACUUAGGGAUAAGGGGUGCCACCAUCAGGUGGCCGCAGAGAAUAGGCCCAAGCGACUGUUUACCAAAAACAUAGGUUUCUGCUAAGUCGCAAGACGAUGUAUAGGAGCUGACGCCUGCCCGGUGCUGGAAGGUUAAGGGGAUCUGUUAGAGCAAUCGAAGCAGUGAACUUAAGCCCCAGUAAACGGCGGCCGUAACUAUAACGGUCCUAAGGUAGCGAAAUUCCUUGUCGGGUAAGUUCCGACCCGCACGAAAGGCGUAACGAUUUGGGCACUGUCUCAACAACAGACUCGGUGAAAUUGUAAUUCCGGUGAAGAUGCCGGAUACCUGCGACAGGACGGAAAGACCCCAUGGAGCUUUACUGUAGCUUGACAUUGGGUCUUGGUACUACAUGUACAGGAUAGGUGGGAGGCUUUGAAACCAGGACGCCAGUUUUGGCGGAGCCAUCCUUGGGAUACCACCCUUGUAGUACUGGGACUCUAACCAUAGGCCAUGAAUCUGGUCUUGGGACACUGUCAGGUGGGCAGUUUGACUGGGGCGGUCGCCUCCCAAAAGGUAACGGAGGCGCUCAAAGGUUCUCUCAGUACGGUCGGAAAUCGUACGUAGAGUGUAAAGGCAAAGAGAGCUUGAUUGCAAGACAUACAGGUCGAGCAAGGAUGAAAAUCGGACUUAGUGAUCCGGUGGUUCUGCGUGGAAGGGCCAUCGCUCAACGGAUAAAAGCUACCCUGGGGAUAACAGGCUUAUCUCCCCCAAGAGUCCACAUCGACGGGGAGGUUUGGCACCUCGAUGUCGGCUCAUCACAUCCUGGGGCUGUAGUAGGUCCCAAGGGUUGGGCUGUUCGCCCAUUAAAGUGGUACGCGAGCUGGGUUCAGAACGUCGUGAGACAGUUCGGUCCCUAUCCGUCGCAGGCGUAGGAAAUUUGAGAAGACCUGUCCUUAGUACGAGAGGACCGGGAUGGACGUACCUCUGGUGUACCAGUUGUUCUGCCAAGGGCAUGGCUGGGUAGCUAUGUACGGAAUGGAUAAGCGCUGAAAGCAUCUAAGCGCGAAGCCAACUUCAAGAUAAGAUUUCCCACCGCAAGGGUAAGACCCCAGAAAGACUAUCUGGUUGAUAGGUCGAAGGUGUAAGUGCAGCAAUGUAUUUAGCUUAUCGAUACUAAUAGGUCGAGGACUUGACCAAU